UUUCUCUUUUUAUUCCCCAGAGAUUAUUACAGAUUAUUACCGACAUGACGUCAGGACAUUAUUCUGGAAUCGUGACGUGUGACUCGUGUGAUUCAUGGGAGAAACAUGAAUCAAAUGUGGAGACUAAAGAUGUGAAAUCAGCUUCACUCAGUAAAGUGGUUAAAGAGCAGAGAAAAGGUGGAGAUGUAACCGUGGAAACCGAGACUCCGCCUCUGUGACAGACGUGAUUCCAUCGCUUUGGAAUUGAUUUCAUGGAAGUUCAGAAAGCAUCGAACGAGCAUCGAGGAAAAGCCCGCGCCGUGAGCAGUGAGCGACGGGAACAGCCGACACUUUUCUCAAACCCGAGCCUGGACCUGGUUUAUCUCAGAGUGAGGGAACGAGGUCUGAACGGGGACAAGGCCAGACUCACUGCUGCUGCUGCUGCACCUUCUUUUUAAGUGUGUUUGUA